rnacentral:rRNA from 1 species
UACAGAGGGUGCAAGCGUUAAUCGGAAUGACUGGGCGUAAAGGGCGCGUAGGCGGUUAAUUAAGUUAGAUGUGAAAUACCUGGGCUUAACCUGGGUGCUGCAUAUAAUACUGAUUAGCUAGAGUAGAGUAGAGGGAAGAGGAAUUUCCGGUGUAGCGGUGAAAUGCGUAGAUAUCGGAAAGAACAUCAGUGGCGAAGGCGUCUUCCUGGACUCAUACUGACGCUGAGGCGCGAAAGCGUGGGGAGCAAACAGGAUUAGAUACCCUGGUAGUCCAUGCUGUAAACGAUGAAAACUAGAUGUUGGUGGGUAAAACCUAUCAGUAUCGAAGCAAACGCGAUAAGUUUUCCGCCUGGGGAGUACGGCCGCAAGGUUAA